UACGUAGGUGGCAAGCGUUGUCCGGAUUUAUUGGGUUUAAAGGGUGCGUAGGCGGUCUAUUAAGUCAGUGGUGAAAUAUGGCAGCUCAACUGUCAAGGUGCCAUUGAUACUGAUGGACUUGAGUGAAGUCGAAGUAGGCGGAAUUGACGGUGUAGCGGUGAAAUGCUUAGAUAUCGUCAAGAACACCGAUAGUGAAGACAGCUUACUAGGCUUAUACUGACGCUGAGGCACGAAAGUGUGGGGAUCAAACAGG
rnacentral:rRNA from 2 species